rnacentral:rRNA from 1 species
UACGGGGGGGGCAAGCGUUGUUCGGAAUUACUGGGCGUAAAGGGCUCGUAGGCGGCCAACUAAGUCGGAUGUGAAAUCCCCCAGGCUCAACUUGGGGAACUGCAUCCGAUACUGGAUGGCUUGAAUCCGGGAGAGGGAUGCAGAAUUCCAGGUGUAGCGGUGAAAUGCGUAGAUAUCUGGAGGAAUACCGGGUGGCGAAGGCGGCAUCCUGGACCGGCAUUGGACGCGUGAUGAGCGAAAGCUAGGGGAGCAAACGGGGAUUAAGAAACCCCUGGU